GACGGAGGGUGCAAGCGUUGUUCGGAAUUACUGGGCGUAAAGCGCACGUAGGCGGAUUGCUAAGUCAGGGGUGAAAUCCCGGGGCUCAACCUCGGAACUGCCUUUGAUACUGACAAUCUCGAGUCCGGAAGAGGUGGGUGGAAUUCCUAGUGUAGAGGUGAAAUUCGUAGAUAUUAGGAAGAACACCAGUGGCGAAGGCGGCCCACUGGUCCGGUACUGACGCUGAGGUGCGAAAGCGUGGGGAGCAAACAGG
rnacentral:rRNA from 1 species